rnacentral:tRNA from 1 species
AAAUAAGAAGCAAUUUUUUUGCAUUUAAUUUCGACUUAAAAGAUAGAGUAAAAUUACUCCUUAUUUA